rnacentral:rRNA from 1 species
CGGUCCCCCGCCCCCGCCCGGGGGAAUUUUCCGCAAUGGGCGAAAGCCUGACGGAGCAACGCCGCGUGAGGGAGGAAGGUCUUUGGAUUGUAAACCUCUUUUCUCAAGGAAGAAGUUCUGACGGUACUUGAGGAAUCAGCCUCGGCUAACUCCGUGCCAGCAGCCGCGGUAAUACGGGGGAGGCAAGCGUUAUCCGGAAUUAUUGGGCGUAAAGCGUCCGCAGGUGGUCAGCCAAGUCUGCCGUCAAAUCAGGUUGCUUAACGACCUAAAGGCGGUGGAAACUGGCAGACUAGAGAGCAGUAGGGGUAGCAGGAAUUCCCAGUGUAGCGGUGAAAUGCGUAGAGAUUGGGAAGAACAUCGGUGGCGAAAGCGUGCUACUGGGCUAAUCUGACANGCUCCGGACGAAAGCUAGGGCGCG